AUUGAACGCUGGCGGCAGGCCUAACACAUGCAAGUCGAACGAGUGGCGGACGGGUGAGCAAUGUCUGGGAAACUGCCUGAUGGACGGGGAUAACUACUGGAAAAGGUAGCUAAUACCGCAUACCAUCGGAUGUGCCCAGGUGGGAUUAGCUAGUAGGUGGGGUAAAGGCUCACCGAGGCGACGAUCCCUAGCUGGUCUGAGAGGAUGACCAGCCACACUGGAACUGAGACACGGUCCAGACUCCUACGGGAGGCAGCAGUGGGGAAUAUUGCACAAUGGGCGCAAGUCUGAUGCAGCCAUGCCGCGUGUAUGAAGAAGGCCUUCGGGUUGUAAAGUACUUUCGGCGGAGAGGCGUUACCCACAGAAAAAGCAACGGCUAACUCCGUGCCAGCCGCCGCGGUAAUUC
rnacentral:rRNA from 1 species